GUCGCAUGGCUACUCUACCAACUGGUGGAUAGCUCGGCUCGAGAGCCGACGAAGGACGUGCCAAGCUGCGAUAAGCUCCGGGGACCCGCACGGAGGGUAAGAACCGGAGAUUUCCGAAUGGGAAUCCCCACCGCAAUUGCUUCGCGCAAUGGGGAACGCUCCGAAUUGAAACAUCUCAGUAGGAGCAGGAAGAGAACGCAACCGCGAUGUCGUCAGUAACCGCGAGUGAACGCGACACAGCCCAAACCGAAUCCUUCGGGAUAUGUGGUGUGUGGGCUGGCUCUCACCGUCCGAACGACCGUCCGAAGUCCCCUGGAACGGGGCGUGAGACAGGGUGAAAACCCCGUAGGCCGGUCAAGUACGACGCGCGCCAGUACCCGAGUAUCGAGGGUUGGAUAUCCCUCGUGAACGACCCAGGCAUCGACUGGGAAGGCUAAACACUCCUCGAGACCGAUAGCGAACCAGUAGCGUGAGCGAACGCUGAAAAGCACCCCAAGAAGGGCGGUGCAAUAGGGCUUGAAGUCAGUUGGUGAUAGAACGACGGGGCACAAAAGGUCGAGAGAGAAACGACCGGAGAGCGAUCUCCCAGUAGGAGUCUCUCGAAGCCGCUGUUCCGUCGUACGUUUUGAAAAACGAGCCAGGGAGUGUAUCUGUUCGGCGAGUCUAACCCGGUCAUCGGGGAAGGCGUAGGGAAACCGACAUGGUCGCAGGGCUUUGCCCCAGGACCGCCGUGUUCAAGCGCGGGGAGUCGAACGGAUACGACCCGGAACCGAGUGAUCUACGCGAAGGCAGGGCGAAGCGUGGCGAAAGCCGCGUGGAGGCCCGUUAGAGUUGGUGUCCUACAAUACCCUCUCGUGACCUUCGUGUAGGGGUGAAAGGCCCAUCGAACUCGGCAACAGCCUGGUUCCGACCGAAACAUGUCGUAGCAUGACCUCUUCCGAGGUAGUACGCGGGGUAGAGCUACCGAUUGGGCGACCCGCCUCCGAGAGGAGUCGGCCGUCCUGUCGAACUCCGAACCUGCGCACGCCGUUGACGAAGGGAGUCCGGUGCUCGGGGUAAGCCUGAGUACCGUGAGGGAGACAACCCAGAGCGUGGUUAAGGACCCAAAGUGUGGACUAAGUGCGAUCGAAGAUAGUCCCGAGCCCUAGACAGCCGGGAGGUGAGCUUAGAAGCAGCUACCCUCUAAGAAAAGCGUAACAGCUUACCGGCCGAGGUUCGGGGCGUCGAAAAUGAUCGGGGCUCAAGUCCACCUCCGAGACCUCGCAGCACCCGUCACAGGGUGAUCUCGUAGGUCGGCGUUCGGUGCGGGUGGAAGUGCGGGCGAGAGCUCGUGUGGACCGCAUUGUAACGACAAUCCUGGUCACAGUAGCAGCGAUAGUCGGGUAAGAAUCCCGACGGCCACAAGGGCAAGGGUUCCUCGGCACUGUUCGUCAACCGAGGGUUAGCCGAUCCUAAGUCUCACCGCAACUCGACUGAGACAAAGGGGAAACUGGUUAAUAUUCCAGUGCCUGUGUGCAGUGAAAGACGACGCUUCGGGGUCGACCGAACGAGGCACCCGCCUCGUCUAACCGUCAAAAUCCGUGGAAGCCGUAACGGCACGAAGCGGACGAACGGCGGGAUAGCGCAAGUCGGUUCAACCUGGAGCCCGUGAAAAGUUGAGCACACAGAUCGUACCGAGAUCCGACACAGGUGCCCUAGCGGAGAAAGCUAUGGCCUGUCGGGNNNNNNNNNNNNNNNNNNNNACCGUAAUUCGACUGUGACAACUGGGAAGCUGGUUAAUAUUCCAGCGCCACUACGCGUUGAACUCCAACGCUUCGAGGUCGGUCGAGCCGGGCAUCCGCCCGGUCCAAUCGUCAAACUCCGUGGAAGCCGUAACGGCAGGAAGCGGACGAACGGCGAGAGUGCGUAAGUCGGCCUGACUUGGAGCCCGUGAAACGGAGAGCGUGGUGUCCGUACCAAGAUCCGACACAGGUACCCUGGCAGCGUAAGCCAAGACCUUCGGGAGCAACCGACGUUAGGGAAUUCGGCAAGUUUGUCCCGUACGUUCGCAAUAAGGGAUGCCUGCCCUCGACGGGGCAGGUCGCAGUGACUUGGCCGCUCCGACUGUCUAGUAACAACACAGGUGACCGCAAAUCCGCAAGGACUCGUACGGUCACUGAAUCCUGCCCAGUGCGGGUAUCUGAACACCAAGUACAAUUGGACGAAGGACCCGUUAACGGCGGGGGUAACUAUGACCCUCUUAAGGUAGCGUAGUACCUUGCCGCUUCAGUAGCGGCUUGCAUGAAUGGAUCAACGAGAGCGUCGCUGUCCCAACGCUGGACCCGGUGAACUGUACGUUCCAGUGCGGAGUCUGGAGACCCCCAAGGGGAAGCGAAGACCCUAUAGAGCUUUACUGCAGGCUGUCGCUGAGACGUGGUCGCCGAUGUGCAGCAUAGGUAGGAGGCGUUACAGAGGUACCCGCGCUAGCGGGUCACCCAGCCAUCAGUGAAAUACUACCCGUCGGUGACUGCGACUCUCACUCCUGGCGGAGAACACCGGUAGCCGGGCAGUUUGACUGGGGCGGUACGCGCUCGAAAAGAUAUCGAGCGCGCCCAAAGAUAUCCUCAUCCGGGUCGGGAACCCGGAGAAGAGUGCAAGAGCAAAAGGAUGUCUGACAGUGUCGGGCCUAACGACCGACGCUGACGCGAAAGCGUGGUCUAGCGAACCAACGAGGCUCCUCAAUGGUGCCCGUUGAUGACAGAAAAGCUACCUUAGGGAUAACAGAGUCGUCACCGGCAAGAGCACAUAUCGACCCGGUGGCUUGCUACCUCGAUGUCGGUUCCCUCCAUCCUGCCCGUGCAGAAGCGGGCAAGGGUAAGGUUGUUCGCCUAUUAAAGGAGGUCGUGAGCUGGGUUUAGACCGUCGUGAGACAGGUCGGCUGCUAUCUAUUGGGGGUGUCAGGUGUCUGCUGGGAACGAUCGUAUAGUACGAGAGGAACUACGGUCGGCGGCCACUGGUGUACCGGUUGUCCGAGAGGGCAUACGCCGGGCAGCCACGCCGCACGGGGUAAGAGCUGAAAGCAUCUAAGCUCGAAACCCACCCACAAAAGAGACACCGUCGAGGUCACUCGUAGAAGACGAGUUCGAUAGACUCGGGGUGUACGCGCCAAGGCAACGAGGCGUUCAGCCCGCGAGCACUAACAGACCAAGCCAUACUCA
rfam:uncultured archaeon A07HB70 genomic scaffold scf7180000022062, whole genome shotgun sequence.